GGAGAGGUGGCUGAGUGGUCGAAAGCGAACGACUCGAAAUCGUUUGACGGGUAACCGUCCGUGGGUUCGAAUCCCACCCUCUCCG
rnacentral:tRNA from 1 species